CCAACGUGGGUAUACUCAGGCGGUCACUCUCCCAGGCCGUGUCCAAGUGGCAUGGGGGAGCACAGGGCUCUGCCCCAUGGUGUACGUCCCCUUUCCACAACGUGGUGGCAAAGUGGGCCUGGAGUCUGUGCCUGCAGGUUCCUGCAGCUGCUGAGUCCUGUGGGCGUGACCGAGGGGCAAGCCCCGCAGGAAACAGCC
ensembl:snoRNA SNORA73 Small nucleolar RNA SNORA73 family